rnacentral:rRNA from 1 species
AACGAACGCUGGCGGCGUACUUCAUACAUGCAAGUCGUGCGAGACUCCUGGAGCAAUCCGGGAGAAAAACGGCAGACGGGUGAGUAACACGUGGGUAAUCUACCUGAAAGUUUGGGAUAAGCCUCCGAAAGGGGGUCUAAUACCGGAUGAAGUUUCUUUAAGGCAUCUUUUAGAAACCAAAGCUAGUCUCUGUUUACAAGCUAGCGCUUACAGAUGUACCCGCGCUCCAUUAGUUAGUUGGCGGGAUAACAGCCCACCAAGACUGCGAUGGAUAACCGACCUGAGAGGGUGUACGGUCACACUGGGACUGAGACACGGCCCAGACUCCUACGGGAGGCAGCAGUAGGGAAUAUUGCGCAAUGGCCUAACGGCUGACGCAGCAACGCCGCGU